UACGUAGGGUGCAAGCGUUAAUCGGAAUUACUGGGCGUAAAGCGUGCGCAGGCGGUUCUAUAAGACAGAUGUGAAAUCCCCGGGCUCAACCUGGGAACUGCAUUUGUGACUGUAGAGCUGGAGUACGGUAGAGGGGGAUGGAAUUCCGCGUGUAGCGGUGAAAUGCGUAGAUAUCGGAAGGAACACCAGUGGCGAAAGCGGCUUCCUGGUCCGACACCGACGUUCAGGCACGAAAGCGUGGGGAGCAAACAGG
rnacentral:rRNA from 1 species